UACGUAGGGUCCGAGCGUUGUCCGGAAUUACUGGGCGUAAAGAGCUCGUAGGUGGUUUGUCGCGUUGUUCGUGAAAACUCACAGCUCAACUGUGGGCGUGCGGGCGAUACGGGCAGACUUGAGUACUGCAGGGGAGACUGGAAUUCCUGGUGUAGCGGUGAAAUGCGCAGAUAUCAGGAGGAACACCGGUGGCGAAGGCGGGUCUCUGGGCCGAUACUGACGCUGAGGAGCGAAAGCCGUGGGGGA
rnacentral:rRNA from 1 species